GUCUCAAAGAUUAAGCCAUGCAAGUGUAAGUACGAGCUCGAGUACAGUGAAACUGCGAAUGGCUCAUUAAAUCAGUUAUGGUUCAUUUGAUCGUACGCUUUAAUACAUGGAUAACUGUGGCAAUUCUAGAGCUAAUACAUGCGUGAAGCACCGACCUGACGGGAGGUGUGCAUUUAUCAGACCAAAACUAACCGGGUUUCGGCCCGUUUCGAUGGUGACUCUGGAUAAGCUCGCGGAUCGCACGGUCUUGCACCGGCGACAUCUCUUUAAAGCAACUGCCCUAUCAACUAUCGUCGGUACGGUAUCGGCCUACCGAGGUUGUAACGGGUGACGGAGAAUCAGGGUUCGAUUCCGGAGAGGGAGCCUGAGAAACGGCUACCACAUCCAAGGAAGGCAGCAGGCGCGCAAAUUACCCAUUCCCGGCUCGGGGAGGUAGUGACGAAAAAUAACAAUACAGGCCUCGUACGAGGCCCUGUAAUUGGAAUGAGUACACUUUAAACGCUUUAACGAGUAUCCAUUGGAGGGCAAGUCUGGUG
rnacentral:rRNA from 1 species